CCUUCCGUAGUGUAGUUGGUUCAUCACGUUCGACUGUAAAUCGAAAGGUCACCGGCUCGACUCCGGUCGGAAGGA
rnacentral:tRNA from 3 species